GAUGAACGCUGGCGGCGUGCCUAAUACAUGCAAGUCGAACGCAUUGUGGUUGAAAUGAUAUGAAGAACUUGUUCAGAUUUGAUUUUCAACAUUGCAAUGAGUGGCGAACGGGUGAGUAACACGUGGGAAACCUACCUCUUAGCAGGGGAUAACAUUUGGAAACAAAUGCUAAUACCGUAUAAUAAUUAAAACCGCAUGGUUUUAGUUUAAAAGAUGGUCUUGCUAUCACUAAGAGAUGGUCCCGCGGUGUAUUAGUUAGUUGGUGAGGUAAUGGCUCACCAAGACAAUGAUACAUAGCCGAGUUGAGAGACUGACCGGCCACAAUGGGACUGAGACACGGCCCAUACUCCCUACGGGAGGCAGCAGUAGGGAAUCUUCCACAAUGGACGAAAGUCUGAUGGAGCAACGCC
rnacentral:rRNA from 1 species